CGUUCGUCGGCGAGCGGCAGCCCUCGAGGGCGGUGGUAGCAGUUCUCGGCCGCAAGCUGGCCUGAUUCAGUGAUUUCGUUUUUCUAACCGUGGCUAUGUUUUCCUUCUCAGCUCUGACUUCCGCUCCUCGCUCAAAUCUCUAGUUCAAGGCGUCUCAUCUGGAUCCAAAGACAUGCUUGAGUUUAACCCCCCCAAAAUACUGUUUCCAGCACUGCAAAUCCUCCAUGAUGUAGCGAGGGUCGUGCUCCUCCCGGUCACCUCUCUGUCGCUCUGGUGAAGGCAUCUACCCAGCUGAAAUGAACUUGAAGAUUGUUUACAUCCCAUUUGGUGAGAGCAAAAUACUUGUCUUGGAUUGCAGCAUAAAAAAUAGAGAAAAUGAAGAUUAGUCUUAGAAGUAAGAGCAAGGCCUGUAUUCAGGACACAGAACAGAUGUAUUGUAACUGUAUCCUCUUUCUGCAUUAUGCUGCAACUUGACAGUAUCUGAAAAAUAUUUUUGUCUUUGUUACACACACUUAGGUCUUUGAUCUCAACAGUGUGAGGACCUCAUUUAGCAUGUUUUUCAUUCUUCAUUCUGCAAGUUUUUCAUUUAACAUUGGGGAAUGUCUCUUUUAUUGAUAAUGAUUUUUUCCAAAAGCAUUGAUGAGCGCCUCAACCAGACUACACUAGAUUAUAGAUUUUGAUAUACUAGAUAGUAGAUUUUGAUCGGGCUGAGGAAUGCUACUAAGGAAAUGAGUUCUUUUUGAACUGAAGGUAGAGUUUAGCUGGCAGAGUACAUGUUGAAAUGUUUUCUUCCAUAUGAAUGGUGAUACUUUGCAGUUCUGUAACACGUUGUGUUUGAAGACCUCAAAACUGUAUGUAAAUGAAUUCAGCAGCAUAGGAAUAGAUAAGAGGAGAUAGCUAUUUUGUAUUUCUGCUCCUUUUUUUUUUCCUGCAAAUGAGUAGACUGCAUAAAGAGAAUGUAUUGAUCUGCAUGAAAUCACAAAAGGAGUCAGUGGAAGAACUAGCAAUGAUGAUGGAAACUAAGUUUCCCAGUUCCUGAAUUUACAGAAAAGGCGAUAAAAUGAAAGCCAGGGGCAGUCUACAGUUACCAGAAUCUUUGUGGGACUUCUGCAAGUGCAGGGUGUGGUGUAUGUCCGAUGAGCAGUCUGCCACUCAAAGGGUGACAGGAAAUACCUGGGAGGUGCUACUGAAAACAAGCUGGCUGCAGCAGAAAGCAAAUGGUGGGAAAUGAUUUUUAAGAGCUGGUUGGAGAGCAGCCUGAGAUUUUAGCAGCUGGUUCUGCCGCCGAGCCACCCUGAACUGCUUCUAGCACAGCCCUGAAUGUAGCAGUGUUAAUCCCCGUGUAUCAACCAAAUUGUUGCCUCCCGAGAUCUGUGUGGGAGCUGGAACUUUGCUGCCUGGCUCUUCUCUGCUCUGCAGAGGUGGUAACCAUCUGCGUCUUUUAUAGCAGCUCGCUCCCUUCCCUGGAGCCUUGAAGAGGCUAGGGUUCACCACAGGGAAUAUAGGGGCUAUGUAAGGAAUGAUAAGGGUAGAUUGCGCUGCAAGAACUCUAUUAUAUGCCUAUUGCAGUGGGACUCUCCUUAAAGGUUAGGCUAAAAGGAUAACUGAGGCAGUUGAAGCCCCUCUGCGUACUUCCUUUGAAAACUGAGCAGGUCAACGUUCCCAGCUUUUAAUUUUUGUGUUCAUCUGGUAGCUCCUGACUGCGGGCCAACAUGAGUAAACCUCUCAAAGUUUAAAUGGGAGAUGUUCAUGCUGAACGUCUGUAGUGUGACCUGUUUAUACUUAAUGGUUAUCACCAUUAAAAUACAAGGACACCAGUAACUGCAAGCUUCUCCGUAAUGGGAAUAUUACAUUUAAAUGCAAGUAAUCAGAAACAAAGCACUCCUCUUAUUGUAGAAAUAGUUUGCCCACACAUUGAUUUAAUUAAGAAUCAGUGCAUGCACAGAAGCAACCUUAGGUUCCUAUCACCUUGUAAUGCAGUCACUGAAAAUUUACAUAUUCAAAAUACCAUGCGUUUUGAAAACAGGCAUACAACUAUAAAUAGUACCAGCACUGACAGGUUGACCGAAGAUGGAGCAGCACAGGGGGAAACUGUAAAGGAGUACACUUUUUCUGCAGCACUGUGUCCCUUCAAGAGUUUGAGUUACAACACAACCCUGAGGGGAGACAAAAAGGCUGCAGGGAUUUAAAAUUCCAGUAUGAUGCCUGCUGAUGGGGAUGAACAAAAUUCAACACGAGUAAGUAACGUGCACUCAAUGUCACAUAUACCUACUCUCCUGAGGACCACAAAUUCCAUUAUAAGGUCACGCAUCUGGCUUUUUGGCUGCAUCUUUUUAGCCUAGAAAAUGAUAAAUGCUACAGGUUCAGGUUGCCUCCUGUUUCAGUAGAAUAUUUGUAUGUGUGGUUAUUUGGCCAAAAAACAGUGCAAGGAAAUGACCAGCUUAUUUCUUUAGUAAAGAAAUAUAUAUGUACGUAUAUAUAUUUGUGUGUGUAUAUAUAUGUAUAUACACACACACACACACACACACACACACACACACACAUAUAUUCAAAACUUUUAUGUGCAUUACAUAUUGCCAUUCUUAUGUCUUGUAUAUUAACAUACCAGAAUGCUUAGCAGAGGAAGUUAAACAAUAAAUAACGUUUUCAUUAAGAUGAAAUACCAUAUUUUGACCCUCAUGUUAAGAACUCAGUGAUGUGAUUACCAUAUCUAAGACCAAGAAUUUGUAACACGCUGAUAUAUAAGUGUUUAUGGUGCCAAGAUGAUUACUGAUGUGUGAUAUCGGCAUGUAUUUUGUUCCAGCUUCAAAGCUUUUCAGCCAUCCGUACUAGUCAACAUCAAGUUCCUACUCCUGUUAUAGUUAAAAGCCUGUUUACCUUUGAAUUCUGUGGCAACAAUAAUUGGCUGGUGGUAAUUCUGUGAAUAAUAGACUUUAAUAACAUUUGCUUUACUCAUCUGAUCAGUCCUACGCAUUGAUUUGAACAAAAUUUCUCAAGUAAAUGCAGCACAAAGUAUUUAUGGUUUUACAUUUUUAAUUAUCACGGGCCAAGUGUUUAACAUUAGAAAAUGAAAGACAGGUAUUUAGGAAAAAAGACAAAGUUAUUAGUAUUUUCCUCCUAGCAGUGUUCAGAUGAUACACACAGACCAAACAAACUAUAUAGCCACUCCAAAAUACGUAGUAUGCAUUCAGCUUUUGUGAAUUCUAGUAGUUACCAGAGCAAACAAGACAGAUGUCCAUUUUAUAUCAGUCCACAGAAACAUUUUCAUUUUGUGUCACUGGGACACAGAUUUCUAAGAAGAAACUGAGAAUGUUCUCUUGCUUCCCCCCCCCAAAUAAACUGACUGAUAAUCUAUCUUCAUCUAUUAAAUUUUGCCUCUUGUUUUUUCUCUUGUUCAUUUACGGUCUGCCUUCUGAAUGCCCUUUCUGCAGUAUUUUUCAUUGACUGCUUUUAUGUCACUUGGCCAAAACAAAGGUGCUAAAUUACAGACUCUUCGUUAUAGAGAACAAUCACCCAAGUGCUUUGCUGUUGUGCCACUUCUAGGGGAUUCCUUAGCUUUCUCUUUCAUUUAUAAAAGACAGCAAGAAGAACAUCUGUGUUUGAUGGGAGAGGGGAAGCAGCACAACCAUUUAUAAAGUCACAGCCACAGUGUGCAGAAGGAAAACACAUGUCCCAUCUGUAAAUGAAAGUUCGAUCCAUUCGAGGUCUGUAGUCAUUCCAUUUUUAUGAGCUGAUCUGGAUUACACCUUGCCAUUAUUUGGAGCUCUACUAUAGUUACUUUCCUUGCAGUUUUCCCCACCAUAAUAUCUGAUGCCAUCACCAAGAUUAAUGAAUGCAGCCUCACAACAACUCAGAGAGAUUUAUGGAGCUCAUUUUACAAUUUAAGAAACUGAGGCUCAAAAAAGCCUGAGCCAUUGAUCCAAGUCACAAAGGAAAUAUGUGGCAAAACUGUGAAUAAAAUUCAGAUCCCCCGAUUCGCAUCUCAGUGCUUCCGUCAUAAAGCUAAUGUUCUGUUUUGGUGCAAAGACUAAUAUAAAUGACAUCACUGUAAGAAGACCAAUACCCCAGCGCGAUCUUAAGGAGAAGAAAGCAGAAAGAUGCAUCAUCAUUUGAAUAAGAUUAAAGACUUGAAGUCAUCAGUGAAAGCUAGUGGUCAAAAUAACUAGCUAGCUGCAGGCAUUAGUAUGAUGUCUUUUUAUGUUUCCUAGCCACCUCUUCGAAAAUGAAAACUUUGGACUGGGAAACUGUAUAUUUAGUGAAAGAGCGGGUAAAAAACAGCAGGAUCAUAGGGAGAAGUUUGGUGGAGGGAAUAAAAGAAGGAAACGCUCCCAAAAUUUCCAGAAUUUCAGAAUUUAAAAAACAAAACAGAACAAACGGGAUGGGAGGAGUUAUUAUGUAAACCUUUGUGACUUCUUCUCUCUGGCCUUUACUGUAUCCAUUUCCUUUACUCUUUUCCACGUACAUACUCAAUACACCUGACGACUUCAUUCACAAGUUACCUCUCUCCCCCAUGAAUUCGAAUUUGACAGUCCUGACGCUGCCUUACCUGAGGACCUGUUCAGCUCGUUCCUGUCCAGUCAUUUUCUCCAGUCUCCGUUCUCAGGCCCUAAAAGCAUACUUUUAGGUCCCCUCCCCUAAAACCCUCCACUGAUUACCUAACCUCUCAGCACCUCUCACUUCCAAACUGUCUCUCUGCUCGCUCCCAGAUUCUUUGCUGCCUCGCCUCCUUACUCAGAAUUUAGGUCAGAAAAGCAGCUGCUAAAGGGAGAUGUUUUUCCACCACAAGGUUGGGCACAAGGUGGAUGCAGGAAACAAAUCUACAGGAUCCGCUGCUCCUGGAGCAGCUUGUCUCCACCUGUUGUAAUGUUAAGUACAGCAUUGCCACGUGCUUUUGUGUAGGUAGUAUGCUCCAUUGUAAGAGGAUUGUGAUUUUGAUGGUGGCUAUAUGAGUCUUAACAGGUGAAAUACAGAAAAUGAGCCACAAGGAGAUACAGUCUGCAAGUAUCUGCGCGUAACUUUCUGUUCAGAAGAAUGGAAAACGAUGCGAAUUUCAACUGUCACACUUCUAAGAAGGGAUCCCUUUCUUGCUGCUUUACGCUAUUGUAGAUUCUCCCGCACAACAGUUCUAGAAUAUGUAGCUGCAAAUCCAGCUGAAGAAACAAGCAGCAGGGAAGAGGAACGUCUUUGGCCGCACCACUAUUCUGGCCACCGUCUAUUGGCCACCCCAGUUGCGCCAAUGCAGUUGUUUGCUGGGACGUGCUGUAACCUAGGGCAAGGGAAUUAUCUGACCUACAACACAUCUUGUUCUGGGAAUUCAUUAUGUUCUCUGAAGAGAUGCUAUACCAUUCCUCUUCUGGGUCUGUGGGAUCCCGUGUGGAGUUAUAUGAGUGUGCAGCAAAUAGCAAUCCUCUUGCUGCUGAAUGGAGAAAGAAUGCUCAGCCUUGAAUAUCAAUUCUAACUGGAGAGACCUGGAGGAUACCUAACCAGAGGGACAGGUGUUUCUAUUACCAAAAAUUUCAGUAAAAAGGCCAAGGACUGAAGAAAUGUGAAGACUGAAUUCUUCCUUUCUCCAUGGCCCCUCAACCAGCUUUUUAUGUCAAGGUGUGGCUGACAGACAAGCUUGGUGUAACUUCCCGUGCUGCCUCUCUUAGGCAGCCAUCGUUAAGAAUAGACAUGCUGGUUCACACCAAGGAUUCAUCUAGCCUGGUACUUUGUCUUCAGCACUGAAGUGGAUGCUUGGAGAAAAGUAAAAAUAGGGAACUCCUGGGCAAAUCCCAUCUGGUGCUGAUGUCUUGUCACUCCCCAUUUGGCAGCCUCUUCUACUGACCCCUUAUCUGGAGCAGCUCCUCAGGUGUCUUCAAGAUGAUCUUGCAGGACUAUGCCUGGGAGAAGGAGUUGCAGAAUUUGCAUCACAUGAUUUAUCAGUUGUUAGUGCUCAAUAAUCAAGUGCCAACAGAGCUUGCUUGCCCCUACAUUGCAGGCAUAACUGGUGAACUUGUAGGAGGCCCUCUGCCCUGAAAGACAACACUUUUUUGUGGAAGGGAAUAAGGAAGAACUGAAAUUCUUAACCGAGCCCAUUGUCUCCAGAUUUCUUACGGCUGCGUUCUCUGGCUGUGCUGAGAAGGUCACAGUCAUGUGAGAAAGAGGCUUUUUUUUACUGUCAUCACUGCCAUCUGGGUUUAUGCCACGGAAAACAGCAGGGUUUUCAGGAAGGCUGCCUCUGGCUUUGUUUGUAAGCAAGUAUGAUCUUCAUAACCAUUCUCCAUACUGUACUCCUGGACAUAAAAAAACAAUGUAAUCUUCCUACAUUUAUACUGUCCCUUUAAAAAUAUUUUAGUAGUAAAAACAGCACAUAAAAAAGAAAAGUAUAUUUCAAGAAAUAAAAACUGCAAAUUGAAUAGAAUUGAUGUAAUUAUACUGAAGGAAAAAGAUAAGAAACACAAGAUAGCAGGGUGUAUUUUUACCCUUUUUUUUUCUGUUGAGAUUCUUCUCUAAAUGCUCAGGUGGAGCUCUUUACUGAAGAGAGCGCAGGCAAUCAGAAGACAACUUCUAAAAGUAGUAUUUUUCCACUGUCCUGUAGUUAUUGCAUUACUUGACAACUGGAUUCAGAAAUACAUUACCAAGAGCAAAAGAUGCAGAGAUAAAAACUCUGUAACUGCAAGAAUUAAUAACCUGAAUGCCUGAAAUUAAGCAUUCAAAAAAACCUGCAGAGACACGCUGAUCACAAGGAAAUUCACAAGCCAUGUGUCUCUGCCACUGCUAUUAUUAAGCAGGAAUUUUUUUUUGUCUUGGCAUUCAAGGAAUAUAAUAGACAAAUCUGCUGCAUUACUUUCACAUGAAUAAUUGUAUUGUAUGUAAUACAGAUUUAUAUUUGAAGUUUUUAAAGUGUAAAGAUCUUAUAAACCUUUACAGCUUCUCAGGAAAUUUGGGCAAAGAGAAUGUGUUUUAUAGACAGACGAAAUGUGCCAUAGGCAGCAGUUAAGCCAUGUCCCCCAGGUAUGAAAAGAAAAAAAAAAAA